rnacentral:rRNA from 1 species
UACGAAGGGUGCAAACGUUAAUCGGAAUUACUGGGCGUAAAGCGUGCGCAGGCGGUUUUGUAAGACUGUCGUGAAAUCCCCGGGCUUAACCUGGGAAUGGCGAUGGUGACUGCAAGGCUAGAGUUUGGCAGAGGGGGGUAGAAUUCCACGUGUAGCAGUGAAAUGCGUAGAGAUGUGGAGGAACACCGAUGGCGAAGGCAGCCCCCUGGGUCAAAACUGACGCUCAUGCACGAAAGCGUGGGGAGCAAACAGG